rnacentral:misc_RNA from 1 species
UCCGGCUUGUCGCCGGCGGUCCCUUUAGAGUGCCCAACUAAAUGAUGGCAACUAAUGGCGUGGGUUGCGCUCGUUGCGGGACUUAACCCAACAUCUCACGACACGAGCUGACGACAGCCAUGCAGCACCUGUGUGUCGGCUCCCUUUCGGGCACGCCUCCGUCUCGAGAGGCUUCCGACCAUGUCAAGGGUAGGUAAGGUUUUUCGCGUUGCAUCGAAUUAAUCCACAUCAUCCACCGCUUGUGCGGGUCCCCGUCAAUUCCUUUGAGUUUUAAUCUUGCGACCGUACUCCCCAGGCGGAUGACUUCACGCGUUAGCUGCGUUACUAAAGGAAUUGCUUCCCCGACAACUAGUUGACAUCGUUUAGGGCGUGGACUAC